GGCAAAUCUAGAAGCGCCGAGCCUGUUGAUUCCACUCAACACGACGCAAAAAAUAACAAUUUAAAUGAAAAAUCGUCUCUGCCAGCGGUAUGUGGAGAAUGCGGAAACGGUGUAUCUGUUUCCAUAGAAGUGCAGCGUGAGCGCGGAAGCACUUUCCCACAAGGAUCCCAGUGUCUCUCUAAACACCGUGUGCUGAGUUAAAGAGCAAAGUGCCAACUGACUAUGAUUUCCUGGAAGACAAGUAUCAGGGAAGGGACACAAGAGAACGUUCCGCUGGAGCAACACAAGGUCUUCGAGUUCAUUUAGAUAAACCAACCACAAACUUUACUUGGAAACAUGAUCUGGUCUUCGAUGGAGAUUAAUGUAACGCAGCAGGAGCAUUCUGAGCACCUGCAAGUGCAUAAGGGGGGGAUGAUCUAUCAUUGUCUUCAUAGUAUCAAUACCAGUAACUACUGCAGAGUUGGAAAAGACCAGUCUGAUGAGUUCACACUGACACAGAUGCAUUGCAAACACAGUUGCAUUUAUACAAGUGAGAAGCAAAUGCUUUUGGAUCAACAAUACGAGACUUACUGUGUGUGUCUUCAUGACAUGUUUAUUUAUUGUAAACAACAACUGACAAACAAAUAACUGAUCAAAAUGGUUUCCUUAAAUGCACUGUAUGUCAUGCUGGAUAAAAGUGUUUGCAAAGUGCAAAUUAAAUACGUACAGUAUAG
rnacentral:lncRNA from 1 species